AUGUCAAGCAAGGUGAUAAGAACAUGCCCAGGACUUGCUGAACAAGCAGAGCUAGCAGGCUACUAUCCUACUCUACUGCCUGGUAUGUUUGUGCAGUUCUAUUACCAGUUGGCUUGUAUGCUAAGCACAGUGUAUUCCCAAAGCAUUUGUGUCAAUUAUUAUUAUAAUUAUGUAAUUUAAUUGAUAAUCUGUGAGUUAAUGUAGUAUGAGUGUGAAAAGAGAGUUGUUUUCAUGAUAACUAAUUAGAAUGCUCUGGAAAGGCAUGAUAAAGGUGAAUUGCUAAAAAUACUGUUUGCUGUCAAAUUAAGUGUGAGCUGUCGAAUUAAGUGUUGUUUAUAUUUGACAAUUGAAGGGAACAUUAUUAGAACGUAGAUAUUUUCUUUUCAGUAAUAUUGAAAAAUUCUUGCCCUACUUAAAAGACACUAUGUAAAAACUGUUUAUGAAGACAUAUAUAUACGGUUAAAGAAAGAAAAUUGGGAAUUACAACCAGCAAGUUCACAUAUUUUUUAAGAAAAGACCUGUUUUACAUCAAAAAUAUUAGAUAAUGGGUGUACCUUAUUUUUCACAUAAAAUAAAAUAUUUAAAAUUAUAUAUAUAUGUGUAUAUGUAUAUUUCCUGCUUUUUCAACUAUUUGAACAAUCACUGUUCUGGAUAACAUAAGACCCCACAUAGUGUAAAUGCUUUAGUCCAAGUAAUUGUCUUUUUUUUUUUGAAACGGAGUCUCCCUCUGUUGCCCAGGCUGGAGUGCAGUGGCAGGAUCUCAGCUCACUGCAAGCUCCGCCUCCCGGAUUCAGGCCAUUCUCCUGCCUCAGCCUCCUGAGUAGCUGGGACUGCAGGCGCCCACACCACCUCUGGCUAAUUUUUUGUAUUUUUUAGUAGAGUUGGGGUUUCACCAUUUUAGCCAGGAUGGUCUCAAUCUCCUGACCUUGUGAUCCACCCUCCUCGACCUCCC
rnacentral:lncRNA from 1 species